rnacentral:rRNA from 1 species
GCCGAGGGCACGUCUGCCUGGGCGUCA